CCAAUGGACGGCUAGGGUUCCGAUCGCAUCAUCACUCACCCCGAUGCGAUGACUGGUCCGAGAGCCGUCGACCCGGCGCAACAGAGGAGAUGCCCGCAGGGGCACUUUAUCUCGAGGCGCAAGGUUACACGGCGGGAGAAAAGCCCGGGAGGA
rnacentral:sRNA from 2 species